GACGAACGCUGGCGGCGUGCCUAAUACAUGCAAGUCGAGCGGGCUUGCCUAGAUGAAUUUGGUGCUUGCACCAGAUGAAACUAGAUACAAGCGAGCGGCGGACGGGUGAGUAACACGUGGGUAACCUGCCCAAGAGACUGGGAUAACACCUGGAAACAGAUGCUAAUACCGGAUAACAACACUAGACGCAUGUCUAGAGUUUAAAAGAUGGUUCUGCUAUCACUCUUGGAUGGACCUGCGGUGCAUUAGCUAGUUGGUAAGGCAACGGCUUACCAAGGCAAUGAUGCAUAGCCGAGUUGAGAGACUGAUCGGCCACAUUGGGACUGAGACACGGCCCAAACUCCUACGGGAGGCAGCAGUAGGGAAUCUUCCACAAUGGACGCAAGUCUGAUGGAGCAACGCCGCGUGAGUGAAGAAGGGUUUCGGCUCGUAAAGCUCUGUUGGUAGUGAAGAAAGAUAGAGGUAGUAACUGGCCUUUAUUUGACGGUAAUUACUUAGAAAGUCACGGCUAACUACGUG
rnacentral:rRNA from 1 species